rnacentral:tRNA from 1 species
CAGAGAGUAGCUUAACAUAAAGCACCUGACUUACACUUGGGAGAUUUCAAUUCAACUUGACCACUCUGA